UUCUCGAAAAGGCAAACCCCGAGUAAUCGGGGGACGCAAAGCCGCGGGUCCCUGUCGGGACGGCUGGGCUGUCGAA
rnacentral:ncRNA from 1 species